rfam:Camelus ferus unplaced genomic scaffold scaffold701, whole genome shotgun sequence.
CGGGGUAUAGCACAGUGGUGGAGUGCACUCUUGGCUUGCAUGAAGUCCUGGGUUCAAGCCCCAGUGUCUCCG